GACGAACGCUGGCGGCGUGCUUAACACAUGCAAGUCGAACGGAAAGGCCCCCACUUUUUUGGUGGGGGUGCUCGAGUGGCGAACGGGUGAGUAACACGUGGGUGAUCUGCCCUGUACUUCGGGAUAAGCUUGGGAAACUGGGUCUAAUACCGGAUAGGACCAUGGUUUAGUGUCUCAUGGUGGAAAAAUUAUUGUUUUGGUGCAGGAUGAGCUCGCGGCCUAUCAGCUUGUUGGUGGGGUAAUGGCCUACCAAGGCGUCGACGGGUAGCCGGCCUGAGAGGGUGGACGGCCACAUUGGGACUGAGAUACGGCCCAGACUCCUACGGGAGGCAGCAGUGGGGAAUAUUGCACAAUGGGCGCAAGCCUGAUGCAGCGACGCCGCGUGGGGGAUGACGGCCUUCGGGUUGUAAACUCCUUUCGUUAGGGACGAAGCCAUACUUUUUGGGUG
rnacentral:rRNA from 1 species